GUGGAAACACUUGUUUUCGUUCGAAGAUUCCACAUGCGCUUUACGACAAAAUGGCGAAGAUGAACCAGGUUUGGAAAGAAUUAAAUGCCAAAGUGACGGCCAAAAGAACAAUAAAUCAUAACGGACGCAAUGGAAGCCAAAAAGGAACGGCCAGGGAACUAGUUGUUCAACGAGGAAACUAGUUGGCCCCGAGCUAAGCGGGAAAAGUCGAAUACGAGCGCGAAAGCUUAACACACUAAAAUGCGGUACCCUACAAAUAAAACUUCCGGCGUUUAUGCCCACAAGUAAAGUUAUAUUUUAUAGUACGCUACAUUCUUCUGUCGGCCGCCAGUUUAAAACGUCC